rnacentral:rRNA from 1 species
UCUGGUGUCAGCCGCCGCGGUAAUACCAGCUCUCCGAGUGGUAGGGAUGAUUAUUGGGCUUAAAGCGUCCGUAGCCGGCUUAGCAAGUCUCCUGUUAAAUUCAGCGACCUAAUCGUUGAGCCGCGGGAGAUACUACUAGGCUAGGAGGCGGGAGAGGCCGACGGUAUUCUCGGGGUAGGGGUGAAAUCCUAUAAUCCCGGGAGGACCACCAGUGGCGAAGGCUGUCGACUAGAACGCGCUCGACGGUGAGGGACGAAAGCUGGGGGAGCGAACCGGAUUAGAUACCCGGGUAGUCCCAGCUGUAAACGAUGCGGGCUAGGUGUUGGGGUGGCUACGGGCCACUUCAGUGCCGCAGGGAUGCCAUUAA